rnacentral:rRNA from 1 species
GACGAAGGUGGCUAGCGUUGUUCGGUGUCACUGGGCUUAAAGCGUGUGUAGGCGGAAGAGUAAGCGUCUUGUGAAAGCCCUCGGCUUAACCGAGGAAUUGCUGGACGAACUACUCUUCUUGAGGCAGGCAGGGGUGCACGGAACUCUUGGUGGAGCGGUGAAAUGCGUAGAUAUCAAGAGGAACGCCGGUGGUGAAGACGGUGCACUGGGCCUGAUCUGACGCUCAGACACGAAAGCGUGGGGAGCGAACGGGAUUAGAUACCCCAGUA